GCUGUGAUGGCCGAGUGGUUAAGGCGUUGGACUUGAAAUCCAAUAAGGACUCCACGCGCAGGUUCUAACCCUGCUCGCAGCG